AUCAUUACAGUAUUCUUUUUGCCAGCGCUUAAUUGCGCGGCGAAAAAACCUUACACACAGUGUUUUUUGUUAUUACAAGAACUUUUGCUUUGGUCUGGACUAGAAAUAGUUUGGGCCAGAGGUUUACUGAACUAAACUUCAAUAUUUAUAUUGAAUUGUUAUUUAUUUAAUUGUCAAUUUGUUGAUUAAAUUCAAAAAAUCUUCAAAACUUUCAACAACGGAUCUCUUGGUUCUCGCAUCGAUGAAGAACGCAGCGAAAUGCGAUAAGUAAUAUGAAUUGCAGAUUUUCGUGAAUCAUCGAAUCUUUGAACGCACAUUGCGCCCUCUGGUAUUCCAGAGGGCAUGCCUGUUUGAGCGUCAUUUCUCUCUCAAACCUUCGGGUUUGGUAUUGAGUGAUACUCUUAGUUGAACUAGGCGUUUGCUUGAAAUGUAUUGGCAUGAGUGGUACUGGAUAGUGCUAUAUGACUUUCAAUGUAUUAGGUUUAUCCAACUCGUUGAAUAGUUUAAUGGUAUAUUUCUCGGUAUUCUAGGCUCGGCCUUACAAUAUAACAAACAAGUUUGACCUCAAAUCAGGUAGGAUUACCCGCUGAACUUAAGCAU
rnacentral:rRNA from 1 species